GGCAGAGUCCUCCUCUCUCUCAGGCUGUGGGAGCUGGCAGCCCCGGAAGCUGCCAGUCUUCAAGUCCCUCCGGCACAUGAGGCAGGUCCUGGGUGCCCCUUCUUUCCGCAUGCUGGCCUGGCACGUUCUCAUGGGGAACCAGGUGAUCUGGAAAAGCAGAGACGUGGACCUCGUCCAGUCAGCUUUUGAAGUACUUCGGGUGAGAACAUCUUUUCCUUAGGUGUGCGGCGCAGGGCAGUAUUGGCCUGGUGCCUGGCGUCAGGUGGGGAUGCCAAGGUGCACCGACUGCCCAGCAC
rnacentral:lncRNA from 1 species